UACGUAGGCAGCGAGCGUUGUUCGGAGUUACUGGGCGUAAAGGGUGUGUAGGCGGUUGUUUAAGGUUGGUGUGAAAUCUCCCGGCUCAACUGGGAGGGUGCGCCGAAUACUGAAUGACUUGGAGUGCGGGAGAGGUGAGUGGAAUUCCUGGUGUAGCGGUGAAAUGCGUAGAUAUCAGGAGGAACACCGGUGGUGUAGACGGCUCACUGGACCGUAACUGACGCUGAGACACGAAAGCGUGGGUAGCAAACAGG
rnacentral:rRNA from 1 species